UAUUCUGCCCUACGGGGAAGGAUGAGAAGCUUCGACUAAGGUUCGACUCGAGCGCCAGCGAGAAAACGUUGCCGCAGGCAACGGCCC
rnacentral:sRNA from 1 species